rnacentral:rRNA from 1 species
CAAUAGCGUAUAUUAAAGUUGUUGCAGUUAAAAAGCUCGUAGUUGGAUUUCUGGUUGAAGCGACCGGUCGGGCGUUGAUUCGUCUGCACUGGAGUCGGUUUUGGCCAUCCUCUAGGAAAGUGCGUCUGGUAUUAAGUUAUCGGGCGUAUGAUCCUGGUCUUUUACUGUGAAAAAAUUAGAGUGUUUAAAGCAGGCCUUCGCCUUGAAUACAUUAGCAUGGAAUAAUAAGAUAGGACUUUGGUCUAUUUUGUUGGUUUGCAGACCGAAGUAAUGAUUAAUUGGGAUAGUUGGGGGUAUUUAUAUUCCGAUGUCAGAGGUGAAAUUCUUAGAUUUUCGGAAGAUAAACUUAUGCGAAAGCAUUUACCAAGGAUGUUUUCAUUAA